rnacentral:rRNA from 1 species
CCUACGGGAGGCAGCAGUGGGGAAUAUUGGACAAUGGGCGCAAGCCUGACCCAGCAACGCCGCGUGAGGGAAGAAGGCUUUCGGUUUGUAAACUUCUUUUCUCAGGGACGAAGCAAGUGACGGUACCUGAGGAAUACACCACGGCGAACUACGUCCCAGCAGCCGCGGUAAUCCGUAGGUGGCAAGCGUUAUCAGUAUUUACUGGGUGGAAAGGGCGUGUAGGCGGGAACGCAAGUCAGAUGUGAAAACCAUGGGCUCAACCUGUGGCCUGCUUUUGAAACUGUGUUUCUUGAGUACUGGAGAGGCAGACGGAAUUCCUAGUGUAGCGGUGAAAUGCGUAGAUAUUAGGAGGAACACCAGUGGCGAAGGCGGUCUGCUGGACAGCAACUGACGCUGAGGCGCGAAAGCGUGGGGAGCAAACAGGAUUAGAUACCCUAGUAGUC